UGCUGUUUCCCCUUCCUGAUAGAGUUGUUAGAACUGUGAGCUGUGAGCAGUCACCAUGGGAUUCUUGGGGAACGUUCAAAUUCAAAGACUAGAACGCAGCAUCCUAUCCAAGGUAAUGUAAAAGGAUAUUACCCAAGAAGGAAAAAGGAAAAUGGCUUGGAUUGCCUAUUAAAUUGUCAUAUUGGUAGAAAGAGAUGAUGUUCUGGGUUUUUGCUCCAGCAAUUUCCACCUAAACCAUUCACCGACUUUGCUCAUUUACUCUAGGGUUAGUAUCUUAAAUAGUUUGAUCUUUUUAAAGGUUGAUACUAGAGUGUUACACUCUAUCUUUUUCUUUCUAUAUUAUACUUUAAAAUUGACAUAUCAUUUAAUGAUUUUCAGUGAAAGAACAGUCUAUUUAAAUACCAUUUCAAUGUACACUAUAAUCACUGAGGUUCCUUCCUUUAUUUAAAAAUGACUUGGAUCUUACUGUUUAAGAGUUCUAACUUAGGUUGUGCUUUUUCUAAAACAGACUUUAAAAUAUGAGGAAUUUCCCAUAUUUAAAGCAUUAUAUCAAAGCAUGAAACCGUUUCUAAAGAAGCACCUGGAAUGUUUACUACUUUCUACUCUGUUACUGUUACUGUUAGUUAAGUUGUUGUUCCUUUAAGCUGGCUAUGUGAGCUUUACAAUGUACCCUGGAACUUAAUGAACUCCUAGAGGUUACAAGCAAGAAUUUAAUGUUUACUCAUAUUCACUUACACAGUGACAAAAUGGUCCAAUGAAAGACUUCUUGAAGAUUGUACAAAUGUGUUGUUUGUUUUGUUUUGUUUUAGUUUGGUUUGUGUUUUUGGUAAGAAAGGUCCUACCAGUUAGACACCUAAUUAAGCAAAAUGACUUACCUGGUAAAUACUCUUAAAGACAAGAUGCCCACUGGAACCAUUUGGGAUUUUGUUAAAAGUUUUAUUAAAAAUUGUUAUUAUAUAUUCCACACUAAGGUUUUGUGUUCUGUUAGAAAACUAAGAGUGCAUUUUAAAAUAAAAGCAGCAAAUAGAAAAAUGAUUUGGGCUUAUACGUUAUUUAAAAAUUAAGCAAAAGCCAGCGAAGCAGAAUGUAUGGUGUGACCUACUGAACAUAAUACAAAAUUUUUCCUACAACUCACAUUUUCACACAAUAAGAUAUUAUUUUAAAACAAAAGGUAGUAUAUUUACUGUAACAGAUUUGUUAGUUACUUGGCACCACUGUUUACCAGUGAAUACAAUGCGGUAAUAAUUUCUAUACUCUAAGUAGACAUUUUACAGAAAGGGAAAGACCUCGAGUUCCAUAGCACAAGGAAAUAAUGCAGGAUUAUAAAGAGAUGUUAGCAUUCCUAAAAAUCAUGUGGGUGUCCUGAGAGGACUGUUGUAUUCUCUAGGUAUCUUCUUCAUGGAGUGGAAAAAAACAGGCCUUUAGAAGUUGGGCAUAUCCAGGGAGCAAAACUGUUCAUCUUCUCUGGAGAAGAGUUGCUAAUCACUACUGGUGUUAUCUCUUUAGCAUUGUGGAAUCUGACUUUAUCCAUAUUCUAGGAAUCUUUGGUCAUUUUCCUUUGCUGCAUUUAAAUUUUGGUUAAACUUUACCUGCAAGGCACACAGUAAGAGGGAAGGAGCCUGGCACAGUUGAAAACGACAGAAAGCAUCUGGAAGUAAGUUCUGCCCGUGAAGAGGUAUUAUUGACCAAAACACUUGCUGGAAGGAAACAAAUUUAUGCUGAAUUACUGGGUUGUGCUCACCAGCAUUUACUUUUAGUUGAAAGAUUAGUUUUUCUGCUUGAAACGUGCUUUCCGUACAGAGCUAUCAUUUCAGCAUGAGCUGAAAGAAGAAGGUAGCUCAAGUGAAAAAUGUGAAGUAAUGCCGUGAUUCGACAGAUGGCAACAAGGCUGUGUGAACCAACAUCAGGGCGGCCUCUUCCUACAGGAAAAAAAAAAAACUAGUGAAAUCCUGCAUGGUGAUAACAUUAGUCAUUAGGAAAAAUGAUCUCUUCAAAACAGUACCCAAGCAGAAACAGUUACUCCACCACCUUUUUCCAAGGUUUAGGAUGCAAGGUUCCUACACAUGGAAAUGAGACAGGUAUGUUUUAUGCAGCCUGCAUCUCCAUUCAGUGGGUUCCACAUACUUACAGAGGGGUGGCUGUUUCAGUUUCCUUUGGGGUAAAUAUUUAAAACAGAACAAAACAACCUUCUCUGCUUGCUGUCUCUCCCUGUCUCCUGUCCUCUCCCACUGGGUGCUGCUUCGGUUCCCCUAGUAUGCACUGGGGGUGCCAGGCUCUCUCUGGUAUCCUCUGAGAGCAGGCGGCCAGCUGGCCUGCUGUGCCCCAGCUCUCAGAAGGGGCCUGCAGAGAAGUGCCCCUGCUGGCAGGAGCACAGGAGCUCUGCCUGCCUCUCAGCUGAGUCUUCUGACAGAUUGGCCAGAGGCUGCCUUUGGCACAGGAAGAGAGUAGAGUCAACAACGCAGGUUCGCAUUUGACUCCUUGCCCCAGCUAGGUGGAGAAAGACAGAUUUGUUUUUCCCUUAGUGACCCUGAAAUUUAGAAGCACCAUUACCUUGGAAUUGUAGGUCAAGAGACCUGCACUCUCUGAUCAACUACAUGCAUUCCCUUGAUUGUGCAGUUCCUGUGCACUCAACUCUGAGCGCCACCAGGCAGUCUGGGAACCGUGUCUUGCCCUCAAAGAACUCAGAAUAGAAAAAUCUGCUGCAGAAGUCAGGUAACACAAACUGGUGGGGGGGCAGGAAAGUCUGAGAAUCAAGCCAGUAAAGGAUGGCAAUGGUCUAACCUGGCAGCACACUCCCUGAAAAGACAGCUUGCUCCUUCCCAACCAGCCUGCCCUCAUGGUAGGCAUCCUGGGACAGGGCCUUCUGCUUCCAGUGUUCCUGGUUGUUCCAGCAGCAUCCCUGUUUCCUUUCCUGGCAAGCACUUGGCUCUGUUUCUCUCCAUGUUUCUGUCGCUGUCAGGCAGACCAUCUCCAGGUAAGAGAGCCUGGAAAAGCCUACCUGCUCCACUGUUCUCUAGCCAGCAACCUCAGCAUCAAGACAGCCAGGGUUUCCCAAAGGCCCAGCAAAAACCUCAGAUGUGGACAUGGGGUCUGUCAUUCCUCCUUCCUAAAAAAGCUGAAGAGAAAAUGCUCAUUGAUUGGGUAUGGAUCACUUACACAUCAAAACAAACACAGAGAUUUUUCCCUCCCACUACUAACAAAUUUUUGAGGGCUAAAUCAGGGGUGGGGCUUUUGCCCCAUACAUAUUUGUUUUCUGCUCUGGUCUUCUAUUUCAUUGUCUUUUAUAUUAACAUUCUCCAGGGAAACCUACACAGGGAAGACAGCAGAGACUGGGAAGAGGAUGGAAGAAGGGACUGAUCAUGUUGACAAAGCCAAGACUGGAUAAUCUGCGUUUACACGUGGCUGUUUAUCUGCACUUGCCCGGGGGAAACGCAGGGGCAAAGCAAGGUGUGGGCAAGUGUGUUGGACUUGGGAUGCGCUGGGCCCUCGAUCAUGCUUCUGUUUCUGGUGCGGACUGCAGAAACGCUAUGACAGAUCAGGCCUCCUUUGUUUAUAGAGCGUGAGAAGGCAAGAGGGUUAGAGCAAACCACUGCACUUCCACGCUUACACAGAGCAGGAGGCCCAAACGCUAGCAAGCCGUGUGCAUGCUGACAGAGAGCAAGCACAGAGGUUGCAGACCGAAAUAUCCGGAGCCCAUUCUUCUCCUUCAGGUCAGGGAUGUCCCAGGAUGGGUGUGGAUGGCAGCUCACUGCAAUCAGAAUGGAAUGAAAAGUCCGAGGAAACCAACAGGUGUGGAACCCGGUACUCUGGUCUCCUUUCCUGCUGCCAUGGAAGAAAACUGUUGAUUCAAGAAGGAAAACUUGAAGGUCUAGGCCUUCUCUGUCUAACACAGUGGCCACGAGCCCCAAGUGGCAAUUUAAAUGUAAGUUUCAAUCACUUAAAGUAAGACUAGACCGCAGUUCCUGGGAGGGGUAGCUGUGGAUCAGAUUCUGCAGAAGUGAGUGCCGUCCUCAUGGCAGACAGCACCAGCGCAGGCUACUCUCAGGUCUGGGCUGUUCGUGUGACUGAGGAACUUCCUUAAAAUUCACAUUUUUUGACUGACCUCAGAAACUCUCAUUCUGUAGAUGUCAGAGGAGUUACGCAAAUCGGAAUAUUUCAAAAGCUCUCCAGUAAUUCUGAUAGAGUGGUAGGUGAGAAUAUCUGCCUUAAUUGCUGCUACUCAAAGUCACAACCAGCAGAAUUACCUGCAAGCUCAUUUGAAAGGCAAAUUUAAGAAUUUGCAGUGGGACUUAGCAAUCUAUUAAUUUGCUUUCCAAGCAAUUCUUGUGCAUGCUACCUUGCAGAGCUAAAAUAGUAAGGAAAUGCAAGGAUCGCCAAAAACUAUUGAAAUUUAGAUAUAAAUAUUCAGUCUUAAGAAAACUAUACUGAAAUUUACUUAUAUAUAUAUAUAUAUAUAUAUAUAUAUAUAUAUACACGUGGCAUCUACUUGUGUAAAAUUUAUUUAUUCUUCUAUCCCUUCACCUCUCCUCCUUUGAAUCUGUUAACAAAUUUUAGGGUAUUUCUUAUGUACCAAGCAUUGUCAUAAGAUUUGGGAAUAUAAUACAUUUUAUGAAUAACUAAAAGAAGUUGAGGGCACCAAACACUAAGCAAUGAUAGGGAGAUGAAACAUUAAUUACCCAGAUUUUAUCUGUAUAUACUAUAUUCAUGUAAUGAAACUUUACACUGUAUCACAUGAAUAACUACAAUCAUUAUGCAUUCAUCAAACUUUUUUGAUGUUUAAGGAGACGAAAAUGUUAAUUACCAUGAUUUGAUCAUUACUCACUGUACACUUAUAUCAGAUUAUAACAUUGUACCCCAUAAAUUUGCACAAUUAAAUAUUAAAACAGACCUGGAAACAUAGCAAUGAAUAAAUUUGUUAUAAUUUCUGCUUUAUAAAGUGUGCCGUUUACUGGAUGCUAACUCAAUUUUUCUUAGUUUCCCCCCAGGUUUUAUAGGAUUGCAAUAAAGUUAGACAACUCAUUCAAGUACAGGUCAUUUCGUUACAUUAGAAAGCUCCCCAGAGCUUGCAUAGUGUGUAGCACUUGGCAGUUUGCUCUGGUUCAUGAGGAUAUCAGAGGGGGAUGCAAGGCUAGAAUUCAUUUCAGAGGCUUUAGCUACCUUCAGUAUUAAUUUGCAUAAUGCAAAUUUUGU